rnacentral:rRNA from 1 species
GCCCACAGCUAACUCUGUGCAACUCUCACAUGGUCACCCUCUAAAGCUAAGCAGGACUGUGCCUGGCCAGUACCUGGAUGGGAAACCACAAGGGAAAGCUAGGUUGCUGCUGGAA